GACGAACGCUGGCGGCGUGCUUAACACAUGCAAGUCGAACGGAAAGGCCCUGCUUUUGUGGGGUGCUCGAGUGGCGAACGGGUGAGUAACACGUGAGUAACCUGCCCUUGACUUUGGGAUAACUUCAGGAAACUGGGGCUAAUACCGGAUAGGAGCUCCUGCUGCAUGGUGGGGGUUGGAAAGUUUCGGCGGUUGGGGAUGGACUCGCGGCUUAUCAGCUUGUUGGUGGGGUAGUGGCUUACCAAGGCUUUGACGGGUAGCCGGCCUGAGAGGGUGACCGGCCACAGGGGGACAGGGAAGCGGCCCAGGCCCCCGCGGGGGGGAGGGGGGGGGAAUAUUGCACAAGGGGGGGAAGCCUGAUGGAGCAACGCCGGGGGCGGGAGGACGGCCUUCGGGUUGUAAACCGCUUUCGCCUGUGACGAAGGGUGAGGGGGGGAAAUGGGAAAAAAAGCACCGGCUAAUUACGU
rnacentral:rRNA from 1 species